GAUGAACGCUGGCGGCGUGCUUAACACAUGCAAGUCGAACGGAAAGGCCCAAGCUUGCUUGGGUACUCGAGUGGCGAACGGGUGAGUAACACGUGGGUGAUCUGCCCUGCACUUCGGGAUAAGCCUGGGAAACUGGGUCUAAUACCGGAUAGGACGAUGGUUUGGAUGCCAUUGUGGAAAGUUUUUUCGGUGUGGGAUGAGCUCGCGGCCUAUCAGCUUGUUGGUGGGGCAAUGGCCUACCAAGGCGUCGACGGGUAGCCGGCCUGAGAGGGGGUACGGCCACAUUGGGACUGAGAUACGGCCCAGACUCCUACGGGGGGCAGCAAUGGGGAAUAUUGCACAAUGGGCGCAAGCCUGAUGCAGCGACGCCGCGUGGGGGAUGACGGCCUUCGGGUUGUAAACUCCUUUCGCUAGGGACGAAGCGUUUUUGUGACGGUACCUGGAGAAGAAGCACCGGCUAACUACGUG
rnacentral:rRNA from 1 species